rnacentral:rRNA from 1 species
AGCGUAGACGGCGGAGCAAGUCUGAAGUGAAAGCCCGGGGCUCAACCCCGGGACUGCUUUGGAAACUGUUCUGCUAGAGUGCUGGAGAGGUAAGUGGAAUUCCUAGUGUAGCGGUGAAAUGCGUAGAUAUUAGGAGGAGCACCAGUGGCGAAGGCGGCUUACUGGACAGUAACUGACGUUGAGGCUCGAAAGCGUGGGGAGCAAACA